rnacentral:rRNA from 1 species
GAGAUCGAAAGCUCCGGCGCCAGAGGAUGGGUCUGCGGCCUAUCAGGUAGUAGUGGGUGUAGCGUACMUACUAGCMUACGACGGGUACGGGUUGUGAGAGCAAGAGCCCGGAGAUGGAUUCUGAGACACGAAUCCAGGCCCUACGGGGUCAGCAGGCGCGAAAACUUUACAAUGCCGGCAACGGCGAUAAGGGGACCUCGAGUGCCAGGUUACAAAUCUGGCUGUCGUGAUGCCUAAAAAGCAUUGCAUACAAGGGCCGGGCAAGACCGGUKCCAGCCGCCGCGGUAACACCGGCGGCUCGAGUGGUAACCGUUAUUAUUGGGUCUAAAGGGUCUGUAGCCGGCCGGAUAAGUYUCUUGAGAAAUCCAGCAGCUCAACUGUUGGGCUUUCAGGAGAUACUGUUCGGCUCGAGGCCGGGAGAGGUGAGAGGUACUUCAGGGGUAGGGGUGAAAUCUUGUAAUCCUUGAAGGACCACCAGUGGSGAMGGCGUCUCACCAGAACGGACCUGACGGCAAGGGACGAAAGCUAGGGGCACGAACCGGAUUAGAUACCCGGGUAGUCCUAGCCGUAAACGAUACUCGCUAGGUGUCGGCCACGGUGCGACYGUUGUCGSUGCCGUAGGGAAGCCGUGAAGCGAGCC